GUGCUUACUUUGUAGCACAUACUAAAAUUGUAACGAUGCAGAGAAGAUUAGCAAGGCCCGUGCAAAGACUACACAAGCUCAUGAAACAUCCCAUAGUAUU
ensembl:snRNA U6 U6 spliceosomal RNA